AUCUUCAACCCCAUAGCCGAAUAUAGCAAGGAGAAACCAUGGCUAGGGUUUUUCAAGCUUCCAAGCUUGAUUGUAAGUCCGUUCUAGCAUCGUUUUUAAUGAUUUUUACAUUUUUGGAGUCCCGUUUUGACAAGCCAACUCGGAAAUCGGGAACGGUCGGAGGUUCGCUCACACUAUCUGUAUACCAUCUUGGCAUAAUGGCUUGUAUAUUUUGAGUAUGGCAUGUAUAGCAUUAUAAUCAUUUUGUAUAUAUGGUCUUAUGAUAUGGUUAUUGAGUGGUAUGGAAAUGCUUGGUAAUGAUUAGCCAUUGGAAUGGCUAAUCAUGAUCA